AGAAUUUAAAGGGCCGCGGUAUUUUAACCGUGCAAAGGUAGCAUAAUCAUUAGUCUUUUAAAUGGAGGCUUGAAUGAAUGGUUGAACAAAUAAAUAACUGUCUCUUUUUUAAAGUUUGAAUUUAACUUUUAAGUGAGAAGGCUUAAAUGUAUCAAGGGGACGAUAAGACCCUAUAAAUCAUUAUAUUGGGGUGAUAAAAGUAUAAAUUGUAACUGCUUUUGGUUUAAUACUAAUAUUUUUGUAAUGAUCCUUUGAAAGAUUAAGAGAUUAAGUUACUUUAGGGAUAACAGCGUUAUUUUUUUUAAGAGUUCCUAUCGAAAAAAAAGUUUGCGACCUCGAUGUUGAAUUAAAAUUUCUUUAUGGUGUAGCCGUUAUAAGAGAAGGUCUGUUCGACCUUUAAAUUUUU
rnacentral:rRNA from 1 species